rnacentral:lncRNA from 1 species
GAUGAGAGAGAGAGAGAGAGAGAGAGAGAGAGAGAGAGAGAGAGAGAGAGAGAGAGAGAGAGUUCUCACUCAAUAAAUUCAGGAAAAAAAAUGAAACAAAUACAUUAAAUUUGAGGAAAAAAGGUUGAGUUUGAAGGUUUCAAUCGAAGCCCUCCAAGAAAAUUAAGAUAUUUUAACCAAAAAAAAAUAUAUCAAACAAAAUCAAAUUACAUGCUAUCUUCUUCUUCUUCUCCUUUUUAUUUUUGACGCGCAAUUAGAUUUAUCAUAUCUCCCACAUAACCAAUUAAUUAUAUACUUUCUUGGAAAUAUAUAUAGGACUUCCAUCUUCUUUGUUUUGACGACUCUACGCUGACGUGUCUCCUUCACGGAGCUUUGUGAGUAGGCGCGCUGUGCGACCAGCGGCUUUGUUCCGAGGCGGCGUCCUUACACAUUGCAUCUUGAUGCUUUGAGAUGCGCAUACCAUCCUGAUGGGCGUCGUGAAGAUGCGUGCCAUGAGUCGGAAGCGACGGAUGGAUAGGUUGUUAUGCGCUUCUCCUCGUCGUCCCCUCUCGCCGCGUUCGUCACUCCCGACUUCUCUCUCUUUGUUUUCUUGACGCCAUCGGGUCCUUCCGUCGCUGGGAUCCGCCCCUCUCGUAUGGCGGAGUCGUGCUUGAGGCCCUGGAUUGACGCCGGAAGGGCGGCAAAACCCUUGGAUCGGAAGGCAAUACCGGAUUCGACGUAUUGCCUUCGGAUCUAAAGAGGGUUUUUUAUCCCUCGGUCGAGGGUUUGCCGCGCGGCGGAACAACGGAGACGCGUCCCUUGGUUACUGUAGUUCCGAUCGGCACUCCGGCGAUGGACUCGCCGGCUAGGUCUCCUCCGCGGCCACAGGGGAGAAUCAUCGGUUUGUCAAGUGGUUACGGAAGUGCAUACUGGGGCACAGGCUACUCUGUUGCAGAUCCCGAUGGACCCGGAUGCCGAUCAGGGAGUCGCCGGCGUCGAAACCUUGGCCUCGAGGACGUCUGCGUACUUGGCGAGGUGGCGGAGCCGCGGGGAGUCUUGGAUGCGUAUGCGAUCGCAGGCCAGGGCGACACCUGACCGGGGCCGGUGGUGGCCACCACUGGGAGGAGGAGGAGGAGGAGGGAAAUAUCAGAGUCGGCGUCGACGGCGACAUGUAGGGAUCAAGCAGAAGAGGGAGACCGGGCACAGCGAUGGAAUAUGACGAUUGCGACCGAUUAUAUGGUCGCGAAGGCGGUGGAAGGACGACGACAUGAUUUAACCACCGACUUAGCGUACGAGAAGCAGUGUUGGCUCACAUCUAUUGGAUUCACAGCAGAAAGAAAUAAGAAUGAUGAUGACAACAACCGGCGUCGGCGAGUCGGUUCGACCGUGGUUCGUUCCCGAGCCAAACGAGCCGCACUUGAAUCGAUUUGGUCACCAACAAAGCCCAAAUACCUAAUUUUAAGAUAAAUAAAUGGCAAAAAUGUUUUUGACAUUUUCACCAUCACAAC